rnacentral:sRNA from 1 species
UUUGUCAAUGAUACACUGCAGCUAGUGCCUCUAGUUCCACGAUAUUUCUACAAGAAACAAGUGUACUUUGGCUCAGACCUAGCAUCAGGCUACAGAUGGACAUAUCACCUUGAAGGCACUCACCCUUUCGCCGUAUUGGUCAGCAUGGAGAACGGCGCCCGUACCGCCGAGACCUUAACCCCUUUGCCCCUCAACGCCUGGGACACUGUUUACUACGCCACAACACUCGACAAGCAUGUGUCUGUGAUAUUGACCGCCAAUGGAGAUACGACUGUGUUCGUCACUCUGAGGUCGCAUAGGAUGAGUCUUAAGAUCACAGUCGAAGGAGUCUCUUAUCAAAAUAAUCAGGU